rnacentral:rRNA from 1 species
UACAGAGGGUGCAAGCGUUGUUCGGAAUUACUGGGCGUAAAGGGCGCGUAGGCGGCCUUCUAAGUCGAACGUGAAAUCCCCGGGCUCAACCCGGGAACUGCGUCCGAUACUGGGAGGCUUGAAUCCGGGAGAGGGAUGUGGAAUUCCAGGUGUAGCGGUGAAAUGCGUAGAUAUCUGGAGGAACACCGGUGGCGAAGGCGGCAUCCUGGACCGGUAUUGACGCUGAGGCGCGAAAGCCAGGGGAGCAAACGGG